UACGGAGGGUGCAAGCGUUAUCCGGAUUCACUGGGCUUAAAGGGUGCGUAGGCGGGCAAGUAAGUCAGUGGUGAAAUCUCCGGGCUUAACUCGGAAACUGCCGUUGAUACUAUUUGUCUUGAAUAUCAUGGAGGUAAGCAGAAUAUGUCAUGUAGCGGUGAAAUGCUUAGAUAUGACAUAGAAUACCGAUAGCGAAGGCAGCUUACUACAUGUUCAUUGACGCUGAGGCACGAAAGCGUGGGGAGCAAACAGG
rnacentral:rRNA from 1 species